UGGUGGAGCGAUUUGUCUGGUCAACUCCGAUAACGAACGAGACUCUAGCCUACUAAAUAGUUCGGGGACCCCACAAAGGGGCCCCGCUUCAACUUCUUAGAGGGACAGGUAGCGUUUAGCCACACGAGAUUGAGCAAUAAUA
rnacentral:rRNA from 1 species